AGUGAACGCUGGCGGUAGGCCUAACACAUGCAAGUCGAACGGCAGCACAGUAAGAGCUUGCUCUUACGGGUGGCGAGUGGCGGACGGGUGAGGAAUACAUCGGAAUCUACUUUUUCGUGGGGGAUAACGUAGGGAAACUUACGCUAAUACCUCAUACGACCUACGGGUGAAAGCAGGGGAUCUUCGUACCUUGCGCGAUUGAAUGAGCCGAUGUCGGAUUAGCUAGUUGGCGGGGUAAAGGCCCACCAAGGCGACGAUCCGUAGCUGGUCUGAGAGGAUGAUCAGCCACACUGGAACUGAGAAACGGUCCAGACUCCUACGGGAGGCAGCAGUGGGGAAUAUUGGACAAUGGGCGCAAGCCUGAUCAAGCCAUACCGCGUGGGUGAAGAAGGCCUUCGGGUUGUAAAGCCCUUUUGUUGGGAAAGAAAAGCAGCAGGUUAAUAACCCGCUGUUCUGACGGUACCCAAAGAAUAAGCACCGGCUAACUUCGUG
rnacentral:rRNA from 1 species